rnacentral:rRNA from 1 species
ACACUCCUGCGGGAGGCAGCAGUGGGGAAUUUUGGACAAUGGGCGAAAGCCUGAUCCAGCAAUGCCGCGUGAGUGAAGAAGGCCUUCGGGUUGUAAAGCUCUUUUGUCAGGGAAGAAACGGUGAGAGCUAAUAUCUCUUGCUAAUGACGGUACCUGAAGAAUAAGCACCGGCUAACUACGUGCCAGCAGCCGCGGUAAUACGUAGGGUGCAAGCGUUAAUCGGAAUUACUGGGCGUAAAGCGUGCGCAGGCGGUUUUGUAAGUCUGAUGUGAAAUCCCCGGGCUCAACCUGGGAAUUGCAUUGGAGACUGCAAGGCUAGAAUCUGGCAGAGGGGGGUAGAAUUCCACGUGUAGCAGUGAAAUGCGUAGAUAUGUGGAGGAACACCGAUGGCGAAGGCAGCCCCCUGGGUCAAGAUUGACGCUCAUGCACGAAAGCGUGGGGAGCAAACAGGAUUAGAUACCCCAGUAGUCCC